CAAAAGGCCCACUAGGUGGAGUGAAAUGAAUCAGGAGCGAUUAUGUUCAAUUUCACCUGUAAGUUUUCUCAAAAGGAGGAGCAUUAAGAAUCAGCCAUCUUAGUACAUACUUAAAGGAGAAGAUAGGCAUUGGACAAAACGGUCAUUCUCACGUUGACCAGGUUUCUGUUCCAGUAUCACCCUCCCAGUUCACAGGUCGAGAGGAACUGUACUUGAAGAAACAUACCUGAAGGGUCUCAUCCAUAUGUGGACCUGAUUUGGAUGACAAGAUCCUGCAUCUUGAGCCUGAUCUUGAUGCUGCCUGUGUUCUGAUGCCAUCAUGAGUUGAGAGUCUAGGGGUUUUAGAAAGGGUGAAUGUAUUUUCGCAUAGGCAAGGAACAUAAUCAAUGGCCAAAAUGUACACUGUGACAGAUUAAAGGUUGCUACAAAUUCUCUGAUACCGUUCCAUUAAGAGGUAGGGCAGAUAUUCCCUCCCCUCAAAUCUGGGUGGGCUCCAUGAUUUGCUUUGAUCAACAGAAAAUGGCAGUAGUGAUGCUGGGCCAGUUGUUGGAUCCAGGCCUUAAGAACCAACAACUUCUAUUUAAGUUCUCUUGGAGCACUGAGUCCCUGACUACCCUAAUAUCAUGUUGGAAAGGCUACAUGUAGGCACUCUAGUUGCCAGUCCCAGCCAAGACCAGCUUUUCAGCCAUCCCCAUCACUAAAUUUGUAAACGAAGCCAUCUUGGAAUCUCCAGACCAGCUCAUUUGGCAGCUGGGUAUCAUCAAGUUAUCUCUGCUGACUCCACAUGGAACAAAGGAAUCACCCAGCUGAGCCCUAUUCAAACUGUUGACCAAAAAA
rnacentral:lncRNA from 1 species